GCCAUACUUGUAAUACUUCUGAAAUAAAGUGGGGUGGUACGAAAAACUUAACCAAGGUGUGACGCCAACGCUAACGCCGACGCCGGGGCGAGUAGGAUAGCUCCCCUUUUCAUAGAAAAGUCGAGCUAAAAAUAGCUUUGUUUGCUGUCUCCCGACCGACCCUAAAAAAACGCUGCGCUCCGAAAAAUUUUAUUUGCUCUCGCCGACCAUUUUUUUUUUUUUUUUUUGGUGCCGCAUAUUUUUACCGAUAUCCGUUCAAUAACGGCGUGUAGUAUUCUGGUUCCCGCGUAUUAUUCGUCACGUGUAUCGACUAUCAAGUACCGCCGGGUAAAAGUUGAUUGUGUACACAUCCGUUACAAUUUUGCAAAACGAAAGUAAGAAGAUCUUCAAGAAGACAAGUAUUUUAUCAUCUCGUCAACAUUUAUUAUUACGUUUAUUCAACUUUGUUGAAAAAUAACCUCCACGAGAAUGAAUUUGUCUGGGCAUGGGCCGAUCUGUUGAAUGACGUCGAGGAUUUUUACCCGAAAAAAAUCGGACGUUCUUACGGGCUUUAAGAAUAGUCUUCUAGUGGCUCAAAAUGCAAGGCACUGAAUGCGGAUAAACUAAGGUGUAUUUACUCCAAGAAUAAAUUGACAGUGAAACAUGAUCUCUAAAACACAACCUUGAGAAAUUUGAUUACAACUGUGUUUCAGUCAUUACAGUUGAUGGAGAUGCUCUGCAAGGGAGAGUGUUUGUAUGACUGCAGAUGUCAUGCCAAUCUAACAUGGAGUUCCCUUACUGUGCCUCCAACAUUGGACGACCAGAUAUUUGUGCCCAUUGUGAUGAGCCAGAAGCACAGAGAAAUCCAGAACUGUUAACAAAGUUUAGGAUUGUACUUCCAGUUUAUGAGCAAUGCAUCAAUGUCCACAAGAAAAACAUUCCCCAUAGAUGUCCUAUGAAAAAUGAAUACUGUGAACCUAAAUUUUGUUGGUAUACUGUGGCUUAACUGUUUACUUGUCUGAAGUUGCUUAGUGUUUGAAGUUGUUUUUCUGGAUGUGUUACUAACUAUUCAUUUCAGUGAAAAUAAAAUGUAAGCAGACUUCAAACUGUUGAUGUAUAAUGAUGCCUUUUGUUGUUCAGUAGUUAUUUUGCAUAAUAUAUUUGAGUAUAUUUGUGUGUUUUAGUCAUCCUCUCACAUGUUGGGUGAAUGUUCGAAAUUUUGCUUUUGUUACAUGUAUUGUUAUUAAAAAGAACUAUACUUCUUGUAUUGACUAAUUGAAAGAUAUACAAACUGAAAUAAAAAGUAGGAUAUAUCAAUUUUAAAAAAUUUUAUUCGCAUUUUUAUUAAACCGUUUUUUCCAACAAACAGAAUCAAACCAAAAACAUGUAUGUAUUUCUAAAAAAAAAAAAAAAAAAUCCCUACCUACCUACCCAACUCUAAAAAGUAGGGUCGGGAGACAGCAAACAAAGACUUUUUUAA